AGAGUUUGAUCAUGGCUCAGAUUGAACGCUGGCGGCAGGCCUAACACAUGCAAGUCGAACGGUAACAGAAAGAAGCUUGCUUCUUUGCUGACGAGUGGCGGACGGGUGAGUAAUGUCUGGGAAACUGCCUGAUGGAGGGGGAUAACUACUGGAAACGGUAGCUAAUACCGCAUAACGUCGCAAGACCAAAGAGGGGGACCUUCGGGCCUCUUGCCAUCGGAUGUGCCCAGAUGGGAUUAGCUUGUUGGUGGGGUAACGGCUCACCAAGGCGACGAUCCCUAGCUGGUCUGAGAGGAUGACCAGCCACACUGGAACUGAGACACGGUCCAGACUCCUACGGGAGGCAGCAGUGGGGAAUAUUGCACAAUGGGCGCAAGCCUGAUGCAGCCAUGCCGCGUGUAUGAAGAAGGCCUUCGGGUUGUAAAGUACUUUCAGCGGGGAGGAAGGGAGUAAAGUUAAUACCUUUGCUCAUUGACGUUACCCGCAGAAGAAGCACCGGCUAACUCCGUGCCAGCAGCCGCGGUAAUACGGAGGGUGCAAGCGUUAAUCGGAAUUACUGGGCGUAAAGCGCACGCAGGCGGUUUGUUAAGUCAGAUGUGAAAUCCCCGGGCUCAACCUGGGAACUGCAUCUGAUACUGGCAAGCUUGAGUCUCGUAGAGGGGGGUAGAAUUCCAGGUGUAGCGGUGAAAUGCGUAGAGAUCUGGAGGAAUACCGGUGGCGAAGGCGGCCCCCUGGACGAAGACUGACGCUCAGGUGCGAAAGCGUGGGGAGCAAACAGGAUUAGAUACCCUGGUAGUCCACGCCGUAAACGAUGUCGACUUGGAGGUUGUGCCCUUGAGGCGUGGCUUCCGGAGCUAACGCGUUAAGUCGACCGCCUGGGGAGUACGGCCGCAAGGUUAAAACUCAAAUGAAUUGACGGGGGCCCGCACAAGCGGUGGAGCAUGUGGUUUAAUUCGAUGCAACGCGAAGAACCUUACCUGGUCUUGACAUCCACGGAAGUUUUCAGAGAUGAGAAUGUGCCUUCGGGAACCGUGAGACAGGUGCUGCAUGGCUGUCGUCAGCUCGUGUUGUGAAAUGUUGGGUUAAGUCCCGCAACGAGCGCAACCCUUAUCCUUUGUUGCCAGCGGUCCG
rnacentral:rRNA from 1 species